AAGAAGAUAGCUGAGGGGUUAAAAGCAUUAGACUGUAAAUCUAUUUUUCAUUAUUGAAAUUCAUGGGUUCGAAUCCCAUUCUUCUUA
rnacentral:tRNA from 1 species